rnacentral:rRNA from 1 species
AACGAACGCUGGCGGCGCGCCUAAUACAUGCAAGUCGAGCGAGAAAGUGUAGCAAUACACUUGUAAAGCGGCGAACGGGUGAGGAAUACAUGGGUAAUCUACCAUCGAGUGGGGAAUAACCAACCGAAAGGUUGGCUAAUACCGCGUUACGCCUCCGAGUCUUCGGGUUCGGAGGGAAAGCUGCACUGUGAGUGUAGCGCUCUUUGAUGAGCUCAUGUCCUAUCAGCUUGUUGGUAGGGUAACGGCCUACCAAGGCUUUGACGGGUAGCUGGUCUGAGAGGACGAUCAGCCACACUGGCACUGCGACACGGGCCAGACUCCUACGGGAGGCAGCAGUGGGGAAUUUUGGACAAUGGGGGCAACCCUGAUCCAGCCAUGCCGCGUGAGUGAAGAAGGCCUCGGUUGUAAGCUCUUCGUCCGGACGGAAGUACGUAUCAGCUAAUAACCUCGGUGCGGAGUGACGGUACC